rnacentral:rRNA from 1 species
AAGCCUGCAUGUCUAAGUAUAAACUGCUUAUACUGUGAAACUGCGAAUGGCUCAUUAAAUCAGUUAUAGUUUAUUUGAUAAUACCUACUACUUGGAUAACCGUGGUAAUUCUAGAGCUAAUACAUGCCAAAAACCCCGACUUCUGGAAGGGGUGUGUUUAUUAGAUAAAAAACCAACCCAGCUUUGUGUCUUCAGGUGAAUCAUGAUAACUUUUCAAACCGCAUGGCUUUAUGUCGCCGCUGUUCUAUUCAAAUUUCUGCCCUAUCAACUUUCGAUGGUAGGAUAUAGGCCUACCAUGGCGUUAACGGGUGACGGAAGAUUAGGGUUCUAUUCCCGAGAGGGAGCCUGAGAAACGGCUACCACAUCCAAGGAAGGGAGCAGGCGCGCAAAUUACCCAAUCCUGAGACACGGAGGUAGUGACACUAAAUAACACUACAGGGCUUAUUAAGUCUGGAAUUUGGAAUGAGUACACUCUAAAUCUCUUAACAAGUAACCAAUAGAGGG